UACGGGGGUUGCGAGCGUUGUCCGGAAUUACUAGGCGUAAAGGGCAGGCAGGCGGAUCCAUAAGUUUAUCGUUUAAGGCGUCGGCUUAACCGGCGUAGGGCGGUAGAUACUGUGGAUCUGGAAUGCGGUUGGGGAAGACAGAAUUCCUGGUGUAGCGGUGGAAUGCGCAGAGAACAGGAGGAAUACCGAAGGCGAAGGCAGUCUUCCAAGCCGUUAUUGACGCUCAACUGCGAAGGUGUGGGUAUCAAACAGGAUUAGAUACCCUGGUAGUCCCUGAG
rnacentral:rRNA from 1 species